CUGAGCGAGGCCGGGGCGAGGGUGGGUCUGCGCGGGGCGGGGCGGGGCGGCUGCGGCAGGGCCAGCCCCCCGGCCCACCCCGCCUCCCGCUGUAGGCCUGGGCCGCGGCCCCUGGCCCCGCUUGCGGAGGGGCUGCCCGGCGCUGGCCCUGCCUCGUCGCGGCCUUUGGGUCCCUUCCGCUGGCGUGCUGAAAGGAUAUAAAGCGGUGACGAGGUGGCUUCGGGUCUUCGUUGCCUUCCCGCGCGGAGCUAGAGCAGGGCCUGGCAGGAGGAUGAAAGGAAAAUCCAAGGAGGAGCUUUGGAAGCCUCAGGGUUCAAGGCUGUGGUCGUUGUCCAGUAAUAAAAAGGGGAAUGGGAAUAAUUAGCAAAAUGGUUGUAGCUAUUAAUUUGAAAGGUCAGCACAGAGAAUUAGUGGACGUUAAAUGCUGAACUGAAAUAAAAUACAGCAUGCUUGUCCAUACCGAAAGGUUAAGAAUGCUUUUGAGAAUCUCUGUAAAAGUGAAAAUGUCGCUGAAGUGGAGGUUCUUGAGGGUGGGAGAUGGGAUUGACAGCUAGGGUGCAUCUGCUCCUUGGCUAAGUCGUCUGCUCAGCAGGGGCCACCAGGCUCUCUGUGGUCUGUCACUGGACCACCACGACAGCCAGAUGGUCUGAGAGACUCAGCAUCAGCUCACAGCUAACCCUGUGCUGGCUUUGUGUGAUGAAUUCAUAAUCUCUUAAAAUGGGAGUUCAUUCCUCUGCUUUGUGAAGCCCUUACUUUUUUCUGAAGCAGUACUGAGGAAAGAGACUGAAGCAUUACAUAGACUUCACUGAAACAAGUCCUCAUCCUUCAUCACACAUCUUUUCUAAGAAACUGUAAGAGAGAAACUACUAUGGGAAUUUCUCUUCUGGAGUUUUAUUUCAUUUUCAAGUCAUACAGCUUGCCCUGACAACUUUAAAUCAUAUUGUGAAAUCUUAGUUGUGCAGAAACUCAUAAUUGUUCAAAAUUGGUCUUUGGGAAUGUGGAGGUCUAUUUUGGCUAUUCAUACGCAGCUGUGGAAAUGCUUAGGACUUUGCUUACCUUCAGCCAUGACAUAAAUACUUUCAUUUGUACUGAAGGUUGUUUUAAUUAUUUGCUGUCAGCCUGCUUGCCACUUGAAAAGCCUCUUGCAGCAUUCCUAGGCCUGAGUCUUUGACUUUUUUUUUCACUGUGGUGCUUCAGCUUUAUUCAGUUUGAAGUCAGGCAGAAUCCUUCAUACCCAGAUACCUGGUCUCAGAUGGCUUCCCCAGUGUGAUCCCCUGCUUCCCUGUGAGCCUCUUGGAUUUGUAUGGACACGAAAAUCAUACUUGUCUAUUCUUUGAGGAGCUAUCUGAAUUUGUUUUAGAAAAUAACAGGACUCAAAGAGCUGAAGUAAACUUACUGGUUUUCCUCUUUUGUGUUAGCAAGUUUAUUGAUUUUUAAAAAUGCCUUUUUAUGAAAUGUGUUUUAGAAAAUGGGGCUUUUUCUAGACUAGAGAGCACCUUCCAUGAGCUCUUUAGUGAACACCAGGUCUGCUGAGAGCCCAGAGCUUCGCUGGAGAAGAUCCCAAACUUGGCUACACAUACUUAAACCUGCACAAAAGCCCCAGUGACCGUUUUGUCUCUUGAGUUCGUGUCCUCAUAUCAGGGAGAGCAAAGGUGAGCUAGACAGCAAGAUACACUAAACAUGCUUAUGUUUUAGGCAAGGCUUUUCCAAAUCCAUAGUUUUCUGAUACUGGUUCAAAACACUGGUAAACAGUUUGAGAGAGAGAAUCCUGAAAAUCACUUUGGACAGGAGGUGGACAAGUUGCCUGCCUGCCUCACACUGAGGGAGACCACUUCUUGCCAUUAAUUUCUCCCCUCAGUAAUUGUGAUACCAUUCAUUGUAAUUGUUAGAAGGAACCAGCAAGUAGGAGACAGAGAACACAAGGCACAGAAUAUACUGCCUGGCAUAUACAGAAUAAACCCUAAGGCACUAGGAAACACUAGAUAUACGUACAGUGACCAUGUGUGCAGCAUGUUAAUCAUAGAAUGGUUAAGGUUGGAAGGGUUCGUAAAGACCAUUAGGUUCCAACCUCCCUGCUCUGAGCGAGGACACCUCCCACUAGACCAGUAAUGCAUGGUAAACCCAGAAGUUCUCCAUGUAGUUAGGCAGCAUCCAUGAAUGUGCAUUGCCUCAGCAAAGGUUAAUGCAUUUUGUGAGAAGUGUUGAACCUGAUACGUUUUCUGUUCACCUUCAGUUGUACAGAAACAGUGAGCAUGUUUGUGCCGAAGUGGAGAUAUUUCUUCGGGAAGCAUCCAACACUGUACAGCAGCAUCAGACCUUUCACCAUGGUCAAACAACCUUACAUACACAAAUCUCAGAGAAAAACAUAAAAAUACCUUCAGGCCUUCCUAGACAAGAUUUCCAAGCACAUACACACACAAAAAGAGGACAUGGAAGGGAAUAAAAGAGCAGAUAACAGGUGUCUACAAUGGGGCUUCACUCAUCUUUGUGCUAUGAUGCCAAAAUCAAACUAAGCAUCAGCAUAAAAUUUGGAGGGGGCAAAAUCUUCUGCUUUCAAAACUGAAGGAGAAAAAGGAAAGCUUUUGUUCUCUCCAGAUGGAUACGGAGAUAUAUCUGAAGAUCAUCUCCCCCAGAGGGCAGUGCAACUUAAAGAAUGGAAAUGUCUCCCUGGCACCGUUUAAAUGGAAAUCGACAAUGAAGAUGUGUUUUUUAUCUCAACAAUGUUAACAGAAAAACAGUCGACAAGAAUCUAUUUUCUGGAGUGUAUUUGUGUACACAGGACAACUCUACAUUUCACUCAUUUUAAGCCACAUUUAAGUGAUCCACAAAAUCCUACUUGUUUUUUUCACGUUGAUCCUCUAAAUGAAAAGUAAUACUGAAAUAAUGUCUGUGAUAAAAGAUUAUGAUAUCUAGGGCUAUGUCUCUAUUGUGAGAGAGAAGUGGAGCACAAAAGAAUGAAAUUCCUGUUUCUGAUGGACUGUGCAAACACUCAUAAUAGAGAUAACUGAAAUUAAAUGCAAUUCAGGGGUCAGAUUUUUUAAGGACUGGCCUAGAGGUAAUCCUGAUUAAAAAAAAUUGAUAGGACUAUAGAAGAAUUGUUUCUCUUUAUCUUCCUCUCACAAGGUUUUUUGUUGUUGUUCCAACAAUACCCAUUCAUGUAGAUAAAAGGAAAAUGAUGCAAUAGAUUUAAAUGCUAAAGCAUUAUUAUGUAUUUUAUAUAAAUAAUUUGCAAAAUUAUGGGUUUUGUCAUAUAAAAAUAAAUUACUGAGUAGAAAUUUAUUAACAACAUAUCUAUUUUUUGUAAAUAUGUAUGGAUUUGUAUGGAUUUAAUCCUUCAGUAAAGAAGAAUGAAUAAUCUGCAACUGUUUUAAACAGCUACUGUCAUGAAGCAAAGAACAAAAAAUCAUCAGAUUGUGCAAAUUGCUGUCGUGCCAUUUGUGGCAACAGAAGAUUAAAUGCAGAUUGGGUCAAGAUUGUUACACAGUCAUCGCAAAUGAGAGAGGAAAACUAAUUUCUACUUCUGUUACUGUUAUUGUUUACUUGGAAAAAAUGCUCUCCAAGGGUAAAUUAACAAGACAGUUCCACAUCACUACAUAACAGACAGAUAUAUUUGUAAUAAAAUCAACCCCCUGUAAUUUGUGUAGCAUAGUAUGGUUCAGUGUGUCUAAAUAAUUGGGAUUUUGGAGACUGCUGCUAGCAUUUUACCAGUGUGUGAUGGAUGCUCUUAAAACCCAAUACUGACAAUUUUCAGUCUACUCCCAUUUUGCCUACUAGUCCAACCAUGAGAAGCUUUGUGUUUGUGCUAUUCAGCCUAAAGACACCUAUGGAAUUCAUCAAAGAUUUUUCCCCUGUAUUUUUUUGUCAGCCAAUAUGAUUGU